GUGAGGAAUAUUGGUCAAUGGGCGGGAGCCUGAACCAACCAAGUCGCGUGAAGGAAGAAGGAUCUAUGGUUCGUAAACUUCUUUUGCAGGGGAAUAAAGUGCAGGACGUGUCCUGUUUUGUAUGUACCCUGAGAAUAAGGAUCGGCUAACUCCGUGCCAGCAGCCGCGGUAAUACGGAGGAUCCGAGCGUUAUCCGGAUUUAUUGGGUUUAAAGGGUGCGCAGGCGGGUUGAUAAGUCAGCGGUGAAAGUUUGCAGCUUAACUGUAAAAUUGCCGUUGAAACUGUCGGACUUGAGUGUAAAUGAGGUAGGCGGAAUGCGUGGUGUAGCGGUGAAAUGCAUAGAUAUCACGCAGAACUCCGAUUGCGAAGGCAGCUUACUAAGCUACAACUGACACUGAAGCACGAAAGCGUGGGGAUCAAACAGGAUUAGAUACCCUUGUAGUCC
rnacentral:rRNA from 1 species